AGGACUUAGAAGAUCUUGAAAUCUUUGAGUCGGAAUUGCCAAAUACGACCACGGAGUCAAGCUCGAUGUUGUCUUCUCUUGAUGAUUGACGUAUUAGAGCUUUGGACAGAAAAUGUUAUCUUUUCACUUGAAGAUCCCAUGUGGCCAAGAACGAGUCUUUGGUCUUUAGGGUGGAUUUGGCCACUGCAGUGAGGUUCAAGGUCAUGGUUUGGAAGACCAAGAGGUAUAAGGUAAUAGUGGUGGGUGCUAAUGUGACUCUCAAUGAUCAGUCUGCUAAGAAUUUAGGGGGUUGUUGCUUUUGGCAGGUGGGGACUUUUGCUGUUGCUUUAGCUUUGAUUUUGCUUGACUAAGGGCUGAGUUGGACUCUCCCUUGUGUGAGGAAGGCUGAGAAUGAGAUUAAUUUUCUGGUAUUCCUGGAUAGUGGGCAGUGUUGGUUAAUGUUUGCAUUAGAAAUGAGUGUUGGUUAGCGUUUGGAUUGGAAAUGAUUUAUUUAAUGGAAGAGGGAAAAAAUCAUUGUUUUGGGAUGGUUUCGUUGAAUGAAGAUUUGAAUGAAUCAUGGUGUUUGGUUCUUAUGAUAUGUAGUCCUUAUCCUUCAUUAUAUUGAGUUCUUCGGGGUUGUUCAGAUUCCUGGUCUUUGCAAACAGAGUGAAUUUUGUUUGCCUUCUUAAAAUUCUCGUGUGAAAGACUGCAUUGGGAGGAGAAUCUGGUUUUGUUAAUUUUUGUGUAUCUUUGGUGUGUGUCAGAUCAAUAGCAUGAGAUUCUUGCUGCACAAGAUGUUACUACAAAAUUAGACAGCUCGAUUCUCCAUGUGUAAAACCCUUUUCAGCAUAUUUACCGAGCUCGCCAUACCUUAUGAAUUAUUGGGCAUUGGCAAGAAGUGCAGCUUUUCUUAUUUCCGAUUCUCUAGCAUCUUCUUUUUCAAUUGUAUGAAUGUAUUUCUUAAAUAUUUACUUCUCUCCGACCCCAUUUUAACUUCUUUCUUUUCCCCACAUGCAUAUGCUUGUGCUCAUUUGUAGAAGAUACAUUCAUUUGCGGCCC